AGAUUAGAUCCACCGCCUGAAUGUUUCAGCGCCUGCGCAGAUUGGGGAAAGUUCUGGAAGACAGCGGAGCUGCCGCCAUUUUGCUGGAAGAGGAGCAGCUCAGGCAGUAGUGCUGCUUUAACUGAUAAGACUCUGAAAGUCAUCUGUGCUUCGCGCCCUCCAGACACCCAGAGGAACGCAGAAAACCGGGACCCCCCCUGCGGGGAACCGGAACUGUGUUCGUUACCUAAAAGUAGCCCACUGGCAGGAUUUUAGGGAGCGUCACCCUCGUGGCUGUAUCCUUUACCGAUGAAGAUGCUGUUGGAAGGAUCCCAGUGACUUGGAUCCUUUUCCAAAUCCCUGCAGCCCUGUUAUGGGUCGCCCAUGCUGGGGAGGUUGCAGCCCUGUUUAGGGUCGCCCAUACUGGGGGAGGAAGCAGCGACCCACCGCGGCCUGAGAGAGUCGGUUUUCAGCCCCUAGUGCCACCAUUCAGAGAAAGAUGAGGGAAUUGAGAUUUUUUUCCUUAAUCUUCAGUUUCUGGAAGACUCGUUUCAUUGUGUUGUCCUCUGUGGGCUUUCCCCCGUUUUCCUUUGUGACUACGCUCUCCGUGGCAAAAGAGUAUAAUGAGGCCACAUAAUUUAGCAUCUGGGACAGUGGCCCUCGCAGAGGUGAUGCCAAUCGGUUACUUACGGGACCAUUUUUUAAAGCGUAUCCUUAGCUUGUUACACAACAUGGGGGCAUGUUCUUAUCUUUCUCAUUGUUCCUGUUCUUAAUUAAGCUGCCUUCAGUUUGGCGAUAUUUGUACCCAGCUCAGUGACCGGACCCAGGAGAUGGCGCUACCAUCACCCCUGGGACUCCCAGCGUUUGGUGGAUUCUGCCUUGAACUUGGCUGACAGUUGUUCUUCACUCUCCUUUGCUCCUGCAGCAGUGGGGCCUAAGUGCUGGCUUGGGUCUUUACUGGACUAUGACAAGGUCCAGGCACUGCCAUGAUUGUGGACCCCUAACGCAGUUUUUGCAGCAGGGAUGGAAGAAUGCUCUAGUGGUUUAAUGGUUGGGAUUGAGUGGACCUUGACCCAUCCGCUACAAUGGCAUCUGAUGACUUCGAUAUAGUGAUUGAGGCCAUGCUGGAGGCUCCCUAUAAAAAAGAAGAGGAUGAGCAGCAAAGCAAAGAGGUUAAAAAGGACGGCCCUGGCAACACCUCCCCCAGCACUGGCAACAAUGACAGUGGGAGCAGCAGC